rnacentral:rRNA from 1 species
UACGAAGGGGGCUAGCGUUGCUCGGAUUUUACUGGGCGUAAAGGGCGCGUAGGCGGACAGUUAAGUUGGGGGUGAAAGCCCGGGGCUCAACCUCGGAAUUGCCUUCAAUACUGGCUGUCUUGAGUGUGAGAGAGGUGUGUGGAACUCCGAGUGUAGAGGUGAAAUUCGUAGAGUAUUGGAAGAACACCAGUGGCGAAGGCGACACACUGGCUCACUACUGACGCUGAGGCGCGAAAGCGUGGGGAGCAAACAGG